AUGAGUUACUUACUGUCUGUCAACUCCUGGACAUCAUCAGACAUGGGUGCGCUUCACAUUGUUCUGGCUGUUCUCUUAGGACCGGUUUCAUGCAGUCAUGGUCAAAUGUUUGGAUCAGUGGUGGAGGUCACAGUCAAACCAGGAGACAACUUCACUCUCUACUGUGACUGCAAAGUGGCAACUGCAGUUUACAUAGUGUGGUUCAGGAACAGCUACAAUGACAAUCAGCCUACUCUCAUUAUGAAAACAUUUCAACGAAAGACCUACAACCCUGAUGAUUCCAAUUAUCUGAUGUUCAUCUCGAAUUUUCACUUUGUGAGGAAUUCAUCUUCAAACUCCUAUGACCUGCUAAUUAAGGACUUCACUGUUUCUAAUGAGGGUCUGUACUACUGUGGAACAGAAGAGAGCAAGGUGGAGGACGAAGAAUACAUAACCCAAAAAUUGAUUUACAAUUAUGGCAAUAUCACAAGACUCAUAUGUAAUGAAAAACUUCAAGAUGUUGGUGAAGACACCAGAGGCCAGAAUGAAGGUGUGUGUUAUGCUGCUGUUGGGAUCCAUCAAGCAAUGAAAAUACUGAAAAUGAAGAAAGGCCAGAUCUCUGUCUGCACAUAUUCUGUCAUCAAUACUUCCAGAGGGUAAUUAGGCCACAAACUGAGGACAACCACCAACAACAACCAGCACUGAAAGGUGUAUUCAUACAGCAGGACUGAUUCUGUCAUUUAGCCUCUAUUUGUAAAAGAUGUACAGCAAAUCCAAAUCAUUAAUAAUAUACUCUUUUUUUAAAUAUAUAGCUCAGAAUGACUAAAUGAACUCCAGAGAGAAACAACUUAGUUAAGUGGUCUUGCUAUUGUAACUGAACACUUUUUGGCUUAUGUAAGGUUGUUUGUAUAGAUCAUGGUCCCAGAUUUAUAUGUACAAUUUUCUUUUUGCAGAGUUACAAUAAAAAUGUUUAUAUAUUUGGCA
rnacentral:lncRNA from 1 species